GGCGGCUUCAGCGGUGUUCGCGCAAAACUGUGUCCGAUUUUAGUUACAUGAAUUAAGCGUCGAACACCGCUGUAGAUUCGCAUGUUUAAAAUGGCCGCGACCUCGUGUUCGGGAUACGAAUGGCGGCCACCCAGCAUUCGUCAAUUAAGCUGCGGUUAACCGCAGCUUCAGGGAGGUUAAUUGCCGGCACACUCCAGCUCCC